rnacentral:rRNA from 1 species
AAGCGUUCAUGACCAGACUUGGGCAGGUUGAUCAUCCGUGGUUCUCCGCGGUGCACUCUGCCUGCCCAGGCCAGCAUCAGUUCGCCCCGGGGGAUAAAGGUUUCGGGAAUGUAGCU